CGCGUCUUGGGUGUUGAUCCAUUGGAUCGGCUUAAAAGGGAACGUGGUGCGUUACGACAAUGCCACGGCUGCCCCCGCAACUGUAAGUGGUCCGAGCAUUACCUAUGCCACUGGUGACAAACCGGGAAGGCGUAAUGCUUUUGAAACCACGAGCCAGGAGACCUGCCUUUGACU
rnacentral:ncRNA from 1 species